rnacentral:rRNA from 1 species
AUUGCAGUAGGGAAUCUUCGGCAAUGGGCGCAAGCCUGACCGAGCGAUGCCGCGUGAGGGAAGAAGGCCUUCGGGUCGUAAACCUCUGUCAGGAGGGACGAAAUGUGACGGUACCUCCAGAGGAAGCCACGGCUAACUACGUGCCAGCAGCCGCGGUAACACGUAGGUGGCGAGCGUUAUUCGGAAUCACUGGGCGUAAAGGGUCCGCAGGGGGUCUGCCAAGUCCGGUGUGAAAGCCCGCGGCUCAACCGCGGAAGUGCAUUGGAAACUGGCGGACUCGAGUACAGGAGAGGAGAGCGGAAUUCCCGGUGUAGCGGUGGAAUGCGUAGAUAUCGGGAAGAACACCGAGCAGCGAAGGCAGCUCUCUGGCCUGUCACUGACCCUGAGGGACGAAAGCGUGGGCAGCGAACAGGAUUAGAUACCCUGGUAGUCCACGCCGUAAACGUUGUGCACUCGAUGCGGGGCCUUCGGGCUCCGUGUCCAAGCCAACGCGUUAAGUGCACCGCCUGGGGACUACGGCCGCAAGGCUAAAACUCAAAGGAAUUGACGG